AUUCCUUACUGCUCUGGAGGGUUGAAUAAAGGAGUGAAACUAUAUGGGAAUGAUAGUAUGGCUAGGGCUGGGGUGGAGCUGAUUUUAAGUCAAAAUAACUUGAGCUGUUACGAAGUCUUGGUAGGAGUAAGCCACCUCUCACCAGAUUUGUUCAACCUGUCUGAGAUGCUGUCACAAGGUUCCUUUAUGGGGUAAGAUACUGGACUAGAUCACCUUGAAGGUUCCAACUUGCUUUAAGACUCUGUGAUUGCAAGUACAUGAAAACCCUUUCCAGGACAGUAGCCCAAUGUCUUCUCUUUAUUUUACACCUCCACUGCACCUGGCAUGUAACUCUACAGAGAACCUGACAUCACUGGCUGCCUAUGUGCCUGGAGAGAUAUUUGAACAUUGGUGCUGACUUGCCAUAUUCUUUUGGAUUAGCCCUGAGCUAACAUCUGCUGCCAAUCCUCCUCUUUUUGCUGAGGUUUGCCAAGUGGUGCCAUGUCCACACCUGGGAUCCGAACUGGCAGCCCCUGGGCCGCCGAAGAGGAACGUGCGCACUUAACCACUGCGCCACCGGGCCAGCCCCCUAAGCGUUUACUUCUUACGCUAACUUUUAAUUAUUUUUCUUUUCCCUCAUUGCCAAGAAUCCACUAUCCUCCAUGGAGACAGACACCAUCAAGGACAAGCACCUGGACCAUCUCCUCCCCACAAAGGGAUAUGGGCUGGUGGGAAAGCUGCUGACCAGCAAGGUCACGGGCUCCCUCCUCUCUGCAAGUAGUCUCAAGGCCAAAGACAAGCUGGUGGGAAAGCUCUGACCAGAAAGGCCAUAUGCUCCCGCCUCCCCUACCUAAAACCCCAAAUAAAAACCCUUCCUUUUAGCUUUUCGGGGAGUUUGGGAUUUCAGCGUUAGCUGCCCUCUCUCCUUGCUCAGCGCUGUGCAAAAAAAUAAAAUUCCUACUUUCUUCCACCACACCCGGUGUCAGAGAUUGGCUUGCUGCACAACGGCUGAGCGAACUCACUUCAGGUUUGGUAACAACAUUAGCUCAGGGCUAAUCUUCAAGCCAAAGGAGAAUACGGCAACAGAUGUUAGCUCAGGGCAAAUCUUCGUUGGCAAAAAAAAGAAGCUCAAAGAAUUACUGUCAGGAUUUAGUAACCAGUGGAACUCUACCUCUUAUAGAUUUUCUUAAUGUCCUCAAUCAAAUAGC
rnacentral:lncRNA from 1 species